ACAAACUGUGAAAAGACCAACAGCUGUUAGUGAGCUAAGAAGAACUAAAGGAUUUACAUGCCUGAGCAAGACAGAAGAGUAAGAGUCCAGUCUCUGUGGCCCAAUGCAUGACGCUCUGACAGACAAGCCUUAUUCAAGCUUACCAUAUUGACUGAGACUGUUGAACCUGCAUGAAGAUGAACUUCUUCCUCUGCCCAAUCCUAUUUCCUCUCUUUUGCUUUUAUAGAUGUUAGUCCAUAAUAAAUAACUUAUACCACAAAUA